ACUUUUGUAUUCUAGGUUUUUGCUCACACACAUUGUUGUCUGAGCAUGCAGCAUGCUUGUAUACUCAUAUCCCAUGGUUCCUGAGCAGAAAACUUCAUUGCCUACAGCU
rnacentral:pre_miRNA from 12 species